UGGGGGGUGCCUAUACAUGCAGUCGAGCGGACAGAAGGGAGCUUGCUCCCGGAUGUUAGCGGCGGACGGGUGAGUAACACGUGGGUAACCUGCCUGUAAGACUGGGAUAACUCCGGGAAACCGGAGCUAAUACCGGAUAGUUCCUUGAACCGCAUGGUUCAAGGAUGAAAGACGGUUUCGGCUGUCACUUACAGAUGGACCCGCGGCGCAUUAGCUAGUUGGUGGGGUAAUGGCUCACCAAGGCAACGAUGCGUAGCCGACCUGAGAGGGUGAUCGGCCACACUGGGACUGAGACACGGCCCAGACUCCUACGGGAGGCAGCAGUGGGGAAUCUUCCGCAAUGGACGAAAGUCUGACGGAGCAACGCCGCGUGAGUGAUGAAGGUUUUCGGAUCGUAAAGCUCUGUUGUUAGGGAAGAACAAGUGCGAGAGUAACUGCUCGCACCUUGACGGUACCUAACCAGAAAGCCACGGCUAACUACGUGCCAGCAGCCGCGGUAAUACGUAGGUGGCAAGCGUUGUCCGGAUUUUGGGCGUAAGGGCUCGCAGGCGGUUUCUUAAGUCUGAUGUGAAAGCCCCCGGCUCAACCGGGGAGGGUCAUUGGAAACUGGGAAACUUGAGUGCAGAAGAGGAGAGUGGAAUUCCACGUGUAGCGGUGAAAUGCGUAGAGAUGUGGAGGAACACCAGUGGCGAAGGCGACUCUCUGGUCUGUAACUGACGCUGAGGAGCGAAAGCGUGGGGAGCGAACAGGAUUAGAUACCCUGGUAGACACGCCGUAAACGAUGAGUGCUAAGUGUUAGGGGGUUUCCGCCCCUUAGUGCUGCAGCUAACGCAUUAAGCACUCCGCCUGGGGAGUACGGUCGCAAGACUGAAACUCAAAGGAAUUGACGGGGGCCCGCACAAGCGGUGGAGCAUGUGGUUUAAUUCGAAGCAACGCGAAGAACCUUACCAGGUCUUGACAUCCUCUGACAACCCUAGAGAUAGGGCUUUCCCUUCGGGGACAGAGUGACAGGUGGUGCAUGGUUGUCGUCAGCUCGUGUCGUGAGAUGUUGGGUUAAGUCCCGCAACGAGCGCAACCCUUGAUCUUAGUUGCCAGCAUUUAGUUGGGCACUCUAAGGUGACUGCCGGUGACAAACCGGAGGAAGGAGGGGAUGACCUCAAAUCAUCACGC
rnacentral:rRNA from 1 species